CCCUUAGAUGUUCUGGGCCACACGCGCGCUACACUGAUGAAUGCAACGAGCUCUACCCUUGACCGAAAGGCCCGGGUAAACUUGUGAAACUUCAUCGUGAUGGGGAUAGAUUAUUGCAAUUAUUAAUCUUCAACGAGGAAUUCCUAGUAAGCGCGAGUCAUCAGCUCGCGUUGAUUACGUCCCUGCCCUUUGUACACACCGCCCGUCGCUCCUACCGAUUGAAUGGUCCGGUGAAAUCUUCGGAUUGCUGACCAAGAUCCAGCAAUGGAGCUUGGUUGCGAGAAGUUGAUUAAACCUUAUUAUUUAGAGGAAGGAGAAGUCGUAACA
rnacentral:rRNA from 1 species